UUCCCAUUAGUUCCAUGAACGAAGCCAUACGUUUCCUGACACGUAAAAUUUAACGUUUUUUUAAUUUGCAGUGAGAUUCUGAGAAUGUUUUACUAAAGUUUUCCUUGGAGGUUUAAUUAACAUUCUGAGAAUGGACAUUAUAAGUCAUUUGAAGAACCCCGGGAGCGCGGACACCAUUGGAGGUGUGAAGACAGAUGAAAACUUGUUACGGUCACAAGCACUGGAUUACAGCAGAGAGCCUCCUGUAAUGUCCUAAAUGCUUUGGUGGCCCUUUCAUCCCAUUUGACCAUGUUUGGCCCUCUGGCUCUAGUCAUGUCGUGAUAGCGACUCCGACUGGGAGCCCCCGGUGCCAAGCUGCCCGCUCUACCUGUGCCUCCAGUGGUGUUCAUAUGCCACAGUUCAUUACUGCCGGCAUGACUGUGCCGCAGGGCCAAAAGGGCACAGCAUGGAGGCGUCGUUGUGUUCUGUGUUGCAUGAAAUGCACCACUUGUUCAGUUUGCCUCUGCUUUACAUCAGAAAGAGACUGCUAUGGGACAUGGCACAGGCAGCAAAAUCACCAGCAGCAACACCCAAUAUUAAGUCCAAAGAGCUGUCACUACCAGUGAAGCAAGCAAUUCUUACAGGCUGACUACACCGCUUGCGUUGCGUGUGCGAGCGUUGCAAAAUAAAUUUAGAAAUCUAUGUUAUUCAAUUAUUGCACCUACACUGCUCGGGCGUGCCAACGAGCGUCUGCUUU